ACGCUCGACACCUACGGGAGGCAGCAGUGAGGAAUAUUGGUCAAUGGACGCAAGUCUGAACCAGCCAUGCCGCGUGCAGGAUGACGGCUCUAUGAGUUGUAAACUGCUUUUGUACGAGGGUAAACGCAGAUACGUGUAUCUGUCUGAAAGUAUCGUACGAAUAAGGAUCGGCUAACUCCGUGCCGCAGCCGCGGUAAUCUGAGCGGGCUGGCAAGGC
rnacentral:rRNA from 1 species